rnacentral:rRNA from 1 species
GACGAACGCUGGCGGCGUGCCUAACACAUGCAAGUCGAGCGAGGGAUUUAUGACGGAUUCCUUCGGGAUGAAGACAUAAAUCACCUAGCGGCGGACGGGUGAGUAACGCGUGAGGAACCUACCUCCUACAAGGGGAUAGCCUCGGGAAACUGGGAUUAAUACCCUAUGACACUUAAGGAUCGCAUGAUCUUUAGGUUAAAGCGAUAUAGCGGUAGGAGAUGGCCUCGCGUCCCAUUAGCUAGUUGGUGAGGUAACGGCUUACCAAGGCGACGAUGGGUAGCCGGCCUGAGAGGGUGAACGGCCACACUGGAACUGAGACACGGUCCAGACUCCUACGGGAGGCAGCAGUGGGGAAUAUUGCACAAUGGGCGGAAGCCUGAUGCAGCGACGCCGCGUGAGCGAAGAAGGCCUUCGGGUCGUAAAGCUCUGUCCUAUGGGACGAUAAUGACGGUACCAUAGGAGGAAGCCCCGGCUAACUACGUGCCAGCAGCCGCGGUAAUACGUAGGGGGCGAGCGUUGUCCGGAAUUACUGGGCGUAAAGGGUACGUAGGCGGCUAGGUAAGUCAGAUGUGAAAUCCAUGGGCUCAACCCAUGUAAGCAUUUGAAACUGCUUAGCUUGAGUUAAGGAGAGGAAAGUGGAAUUCCUGGUGUAGCGGUGAAAUGCGUAGAUAUCAGGAGGAAUACCAGUGGCGAAGGCGACUUUCUGGCCUUAAACUGACGCUGAGGUACGAAAGCGUGGGGAGCAAACAGGAUUAGAUACCCUGGUAGUCCACGCCGUAAACGAUGAGUGCUAGGUGUCGGGGGUUUAACCUUCGGUGCCGCAGUUAACACAUUAAGCACUCCGCCUGGGGAGUACGUUCGCAAGAAUGA